AUUGAACGCUGGCGGCAUGCCUUACACAUGCAAGUCGAACGGCAGCACGGGGCAACCUGGUGGCGAGUGGCGAACGGGUGAGUAAUGCAUCGGAACGUACCUUUCAGUGGGGGAUAACGUAGCGAAAGUUACGCUAAUACCGCAUAUUCUGUGAGCAGGAAAGCAGGGGAUCGCAAGAACUUGCGCUGAUUGAGCGGCCGAUGUCAGAUUAGCUAGUUGGUGAGGUAAGGGAUCACCAAGGCGACGAUCUGUAGCGGGUCUGAGAGGAUGAUCCGCCACACUGGAACUGAGACACGGUCCAGACUCCUACGGGAGGCAGCAGUGGGGAAUUUUGGACAAUGGGGGCAACCCUGAUCCAGCCAUGCCGCGUGAGUGAAGAAGGCCUUCGGGUUGUAAAGCUCUUUCGGCCGGGAAGAAAUCGCACGGGCUAAUACCCUGUGUGGAUGACGGUACCGGAAUAAGAAGCACCGGCUAACUACGUGCCAGCCGCCGCCGUAA
rnacentral:rRNA from 1 species